UUAUGGCUCAGGAUGAACGCUAGCUACAGGCUUAACACAUGCAAGUCGAGGGGCAGCAUGUUGGUUGCUUGCAACCAAUGAUGGCGACCGGCGCACGGGUGAGUAACGCGUAUCCAACCUUCCCCUUAGUAGAGGAUAGCCCGGCGAAAGUCGGAUUAAUACUCUAUGUUCUUCAAUGCGGGCAUCUAAGUUGAAGCAAAGAUUUAUCGCUAAGGGAUGGGGAUGCGUCUGAUUAGGUUGCAGGCGGGGUAACGGCCCACCUGGCCUACGAUCAGUAGGGGUUCUGAGAGGAAGGUCCCCCACACUGGUACUGAGACACGGACCAGACUCCUACGGGAGGCAGCAGUGAGGAAUAUUGGUCAAUGGGCGCGAGCCUGAACCAGCCAAGUAGCGUGCAAGGACGACUGCCCUAUGGGUUGUAAACUGCUUUUAUCAGGGAAUAAAGUGAGGCACGCGUGCCUUUUUGUAUGUACCUGAUGAAUAAGGACCGGCUAAUUCCGUGCCAGCCGCGGC
rnacentral:rRNA from 1 species